GGCCAGGAGUUGAACCUGGAACCUCAUGGUUCCUCGUCGGAUUCAUUUCUGCUGUACCAUGAUGGGAACUCCUGCUUCCUGUAUCUUGAUAUCUGAUUCCUUCUUCAGAUUUGGCAAGUUUCAAAUGUAUUUUCAAUCCCCUUUUGUUUCUCUUCUACUUCUGCAACCCCUAUUAUGUGUCAAUUGGAACAUUUUCUAUUGUGCCAAAUAGCUCCUAUAUCGCUUUCAUUUUUUUUUUUUCCACUUGCCUUUCUGUCUGUCUGUCAUGACUGGGUGAUUUCCAUUAUCCUGUCUUCCAAGUAACUUAUUCAUCCCUCUGCAUUAUUCAUUCUGCUGUUCAUUGCCUUUAACUCAGCUUUUGUGUCUGCAAAUGAAUUUUCUAAUUUUUCUUGGCUCCUCCUUGUAGUUUCUAGUUCCUUUUUAAUGUAAUAUUCAUUACUGUUGACAUCUGCUGCUAAUUCCUUUGGUAUUUCCAUUUCCUCCUUUUUGGACUCAAGUGUCAANUACUGCAGAAGUGAAGUCUAUUUCAUUGUUUGCUCCUUCAGGGGAUUCUCCUGUUUAACUGGGAAUGGUUUCUGUUCUUAAUUUUUUUUUUUACUUUUUAGAGCUGCACCUGCAGCAUAUGAGAGUUCCUGGUCUAGGAGUCAAAUCAGAGCUGCAGCUGCAGGCCUAUGCCACAGCCAUAGCAACACUUGAUCCAAGCCACUUCUGCAACCUACAUUGCAGUUUUCAGUAAUGCUGGAUCCUUAACUCACUGAGUGGGGCCAGGGAUUGAACCUGUGUCCUCAUGGAGAUUUGUCAGGUUCUUCACCUGCUGAGCCACAGUAGAGCCACUCUACUAUGCUUCUUUAUUUUGCUUAUGUUUUUCUUAUUCUGUGAGUUUAGGGAGAACAAUUAUCUACUGUAGUCUUGGAGAGCUAUUUACAUGUGGGAAUGUCCCUGGGUAGCUUGUGAGGGCUUACUGUUUUUUUGGUGUGAGGGCUGCUUUUGGUUUGGUUGCUUGCUGUUUCUUUCCUUACUGUGGGCAGACUGUUACCCAUGGUAGGGGUUGCAAAGGUAUAUGGCCUGUGUGUGCUUCCUGGAAGGUGGGGCAGUUGGCUGUGCCUGCAGGCAGCACCUGGUCACUGGGCCCUUGGCUGUGGUGAGGACCCAUGUACAGGUGGGGGCGGCGCCUGCUUCUGGUUGUAGGGCUUUUGGCAGAGCAGUGACUCUCAAGGAAAUGAGGGUGGUGCCCAGAAACCUUGGCAGUGGCAAUGGCGGAGCAUGUCGUUCCCAUAGAUUGGGGGUAAUGAGUGGUGUUUGGUUGAAGGGCCCUCCAAGGCAUUGACCCUGGAGGUGAUUGACUACAGACAGUGCCUUUUCAUGGGACCCUUAGUUGUCCCAUGACAACCACUGGAGUCUGAGACGGCUGUGGUGAUUUGUACCCAUCCCCAUAGCCUGUGCAAGAGGUGCUCGCUGCCCAAGCGCCCGCGUGUUUGCAGAGAAAGAAGUUCCUAUGGUGGCCUGUCCCACCCCACCCCUUGCACUCCCCAACAAGGGCCCAGGCCUCCUUCAGCUGUGGCGCACUGCUCCCUGGCCCCCUCAGGCUGAUUCCACAAAGCCAACACUAGUCCCCUCCCAGGAACUGAUCUCUGUAGUCCGAGCCUCAGUGCCCAGCCCCUGCCCAAGUGUCUCAGGCUGUGGUGUUUGGGGCAGCAGAACUGAUCAUCUGUGUGGCUGUCUCUCUGCUUUGCCGUCCUCAGUCCAGCAGCUCUGAUUUUCUGUGAGGCUUCGAGGCUGCCUCUCAGUGCCGGCUGGUCUUUCUGUCAGGUUGGCUCCCAGGGUGCAGAUUCUUUUCCUCCUUCACAGCUCCCUCCCCAGAGUGCUGGUUCUGUCUGAUUCCUUUUUUUCUCUUCUUUUUUCCCCUUUUAUUCUACCCAGUUAUGUGGAGGGUUUCUUGCCCUUUUUGGAAGUCUAAGGGCUUCUGCCAGCAUUCAGUAGUUGCUCUGAACAAAUCGUUCUACAUGUAGAUGGUUUUUAUUGAUGGGUUUGUAGGAGAAAGGGUGCACCAUAUCCAUCUCCCCUGCUGUCUUGAUCCUGCCUCCUAGUUGCCUGUUUUUAAGCUUUAUACUUGGAGCGAUAUGUAAUACUUUGUCAUUUUAUGAAAUCAUACAUGAUAUAGCCUGUGACUUCUUUUGUUCAAUAUUGUUAGAGUAUUCUGUGUUGAUAUGUGUGCCACGGGUUUAUUGUUUCACGUUACAUAUUAUUCCAUUAUAUGUCUAUACUAGAGUUUAUCCUAGCUAAUAUUUAGUAGGAGUUCCCGUCGUUACUCAGUGGUUAACGAAUCUGACUAGGAACCAUGAGGUUGCAGGUUUGAUCCCUAUCCUAGCUAAUAUUUAAACAUAUUUUUUCUUUUUACAGUCACACCUGUGGCAUAUGGAAGUUCCCAGGCUAGGGGUUGAAUCACAGCUGCAACUGCGGGCCUUCACCACAGCCACAGCACUGCCAGAUCUGAGGCGCAUCUAUGAUCUAUGC
rnacentral:lncRNA from 1 species